CCUACGGGAGGCAGCAGUAGGGAAUCUUCCGCAAUGGACGAAAGUCUGACGGAGCAACGCCGCGUGAGUGAUGAAGGUUUUCGGAUCGUAAAGCUCUGUUGUUAGGGAAGAACAAGUACCGUUCGAAUAGGGCGGUACCUGACGUACCUA
rnacentral:rRNA from 1 species